CCUGACCCCAUGCCGAACUCAGAAGUGAAACACCGUAGCGCCGAUGGUAGUGUGGGGUCUCCCCAUGCGAGAGUAGGGAACUGCCAGGC
rnacentral:rRNA from 1 species